CUCCUCUUCGUUGGAGUCUUUUCGAUUAUUUCCUUUUGUGGAAUCACAUUAAUCAUUUAUGCAGCAUCAACCAUUUAUAUUGGUAAAGAUAUAAAGUUCAAUGAUCUCUUCUCAUGGAUCAGGGCUUCAUGGAAAAACCCAUUGAUCACUUGGCUGUAUGUUUAUUUCCCCUCUGCAAUUUACAUUGUUUUGGUCACAGUUAUGAUCAAAUUGGUCUCUAAAAUCUCUAGUUCCAUUUGGGGUUGGGUAGCGG
rnacentral:misc_RNA from 1 species